CUUUAACAAUCUGGAACAAGCUGAAAAUUGAAACGAUACAGCGAAACCUGCCUUGAUGGCGGGAGUUGGCUGUAUCAGAGUCUCUCAAAUAAUCGCAUCCCGGAUAUUCCGAAUCGAUGAAUGAGCGA
rfam:Serratia sp. ATCC 39006 ctg5, whole genome shotgun sequence.